GACGAACGCUGGCGGCGUGCCUAAUACAUGCAAGUAGGACGCAGUUGCGAACGGGAGAGUAACGCGUAGGUAACUACCUAUUAGAGGGGGAUAACUAUUGGAAACGAUAGCUAAUACCGCAUACUAGUAGAUGGACCUGAGUUGUAUUAGGUAGUAGGUAGGGUAAUGGCAUACCUAGGCAACGAUACAUAGCCGACCUGAGAGGGUGAUCGGACACAAUGGGAAGGAGACACGGCCCAGACUCCUUCGGGAGGCAGCAGUAGGGAAUCUUCGGCAAGUGGGGGAACCCUUACCGAGCAACGCCGCGUGAGUGAAGAAGGUUUGCGGAUCGGAAAGCUCUGUUGUUAAGGAAGCGUUACUUAACCAGAAAGGGACGGCUAACUACGUGCCAGCAGCCGCGGUAAUUC
rnacentral:rRNA from 1 species